AGGACGAACGCUGGCGGCGUGCUUAACACAUGCAAGUCGAGCGGAAAGGCCCUUCGGGGUACUCGAGCGGCGAACGGGUGAGUAACACGUGAGCAACCUGCCCCUGGCUCUGGGAUAGCUCCGGGAAACCGGGAUUAAUACCGGACAUGACCUGCCGCGGCAUCGCGGCGGGUGGAAAGUUUUUCGGCCAGGGAUGGGCUCGCGGCCUAUCAGCUUGUUGGCAGGGUAAUGGCCUACCAAGGCGACGACGGGUA
rnacentral:rRNA from 1 species